GCAUUGGUCAUUCAGUGGUAGAAUUUUUGCCUUCUAUGUGGGAGACUUAGGUUCAAUUCUUGGCCAAUGCA
rnacentral:tRNA from 1 species